rnacentral:rRNA from 1 species
UAGGGAAUCUUCCACAAUGGACGCAAGUCUGAUGGAGCAACGCCGCGUGAGUGAAGAAGGUUUUCGGAUCGUAAAGCUCUGUUGUUGGUGAAGAAGGAUAGAGGCAGUAACUGGUCUUUAUUUGACGGUAAUCAACCAGAAAGUCACGGCAACUACGCGCCAG